UAAAGUCUAAUCUGCCCACUGAUAUAAUAUUAAAGGGSUGCAGUAUUUUGAGUGUACAAAGGUAGCAUAAUCAUUAGUCUUUUAAUUGAAGACUUGUAUGAAUGAUUGGAUGAAAUAUAAACUGUCUCUAAUAUUAUUAGUUAGAAUUUAAUUUUUUUAUUAAAAAGUAAAAAUAAAUUUAAAAGACGAGAAGACCCUAUAGAGUUUUAUAAUUAAUUUAAUUGAAAUUAUUUAUAAAGAUAAUUUUAAAUUAAUAAAUUAAAAUUAAGUUAAUUAUUUUGUUGGGGUGAUAAAAAAAUAAAAAUAACUUUUUUUAAUAAAUAUAUAUAUAUAUAUAUAUAUAUAUAUAUAUAUAUUGUAAACAAAAAUAAAUGAUUUUUUGAUCCAGAAUUUUUGAUUAUAAGAAAAAAUUACCUUAGGGAUAACAGCGUAAUUUUUUUUUUUAGUUCAAAUAAGAAAAAGAGUUUGCGACCUCGAUGUUGGAUUAAGGAAAAAUUUAAAUGCAAAAGUUUAAAAUUUUG
rnacentral:rRNA from 1 species